UACGUAGGGGGCGAGCGUUAUCCGGGUUCAUUGGGCGUAAAGCGCGCGUAGGCGGCCGCCUAAGCGGAACCUCUAACCCCGGGGCUCAACCUCGGGCCGGGUUCCGGACUGGGCGGCUCGAGUGCGGUAGAGGAGAGCGGAAUUCCCGGUGUAGCGGUGGAAUGCGCAGAUAUCGGGAAGAACACCGAUGGCGAAGGCAGCUCUCAGGGCCGUCACUGACGCUGAGGCGCGAAAGCUGGGGGAGCGAACAGG
rnacentral:rRNA from 1 species